GACUCUUGGCAAUGGAUAUUUCUUUCUCUUGUUAUGAAAUGAAGAACACAGAAAAAUGUAAAACUUGGCAUGAAUUACAUAAUCAUGUUAAUCGUUGAGUUUUUGAAUGAAAUUUUUGUUUGAGAUCCCUUAAAAAUUCCAUAUGGUUGGAUCC
rnacentral:rRNA from 1 species